rnacentral:rRNA from 1 species
UGGCUCAGGAUGAACGCUGGCGGCGUGCCUAAUACAUGCAAGUCGAGCGAACGGACGAGAAGCUUGCUUCUCUGAUGUUAGCGGCGGACGGGUGAGUAACACGUGGAUAACCUACCUAUAAGACUGGGAUAACUUCGGGAAACCGGAGCUAAUACCGGAUAAUAUUUUGAACCGCAUGGUUCAAAAGUGAAAGACGGUCUUGCUGUCACUUAUAGAUGGAUCCGCGCUGCAUUAGCUAGUUGGUAAGGUAACGGCUUACCAAGGCAACGAUGCAUAGCCGACCUGAGAGGGUGAUCGGCCACACUGGAACUGAGACACGGUCCAGACUCCUACGGGAGGCAGCAGUAGGGAAUCUUCCGCAAUGGGCGAAAGCCUGACGGAGCAACGCCGCGUGAGUGAUGAAGGUCUUCGGAUCGUAAAACUCUGUUAUUAGGGAAGAACAUAUGUGUAAGUAACUGUGCACAUCUUGACGGUACCUAAUCAGAAAGCCACGGCUAACUACGUGCCAGCAGCCGCGGUAAUACGUAGGUGGCAAGCGUUAUCCGGAAUUAUUGGGCGUAAAGCGCGCGUAGGCGGU